GGACCCGCACAAGCGGUGGAUGAUGUGGAUUAAUUCGAUGCAACGCGAAAAACCUUACCUACCCUUGACAUGCCAGGAAUCCCGCUGAGAGGUGGGAGUGCCCGAAAGAGAGCCUGGACACAGGUGCUGCAUGGCUGUCGUCAGCUCGUGUCGUGAGAUGUUGGGUUAAGUCCCGCAACGAGCGCAACCCUUGUCAUUAGUUGCCAUCAUUUAGUUGGGCACUCUAAUGAGACUGCCGGUGACAAACCGGAGGAAGGUGGGGAUGACGUCAAGUCCUCAUGGCCCUUAUGGGUAGGGCUUCACACGUCAUACAAUGGUCGGUACAGAGGGUUGCCAAGCCGCGAGGUGGAGCCAAUCCCAGAAAGCCGAUCGUAGUCCGGAUCGGAGUCUGCAACUCGACUCCGUGAAGUCGGAAUCGCUAGUAAUCGUGGAUCAGCAUGCCACGGUGAAUACGUUCCCGGGUCUUGUACACACCGCCCGUCACACCAUGGGAGUGGGUUUCACCAGAAGUAGGUAGCCUAACCGCAAGGGGGGCGCUUACCACGGUGGGAUUCAUGACUGGGGUGAAGUCGUAACAAGGUAGCCGUAGGGGAACCUGCGGCU
rnacentral:rRNA from 1 species